UCUAUGGUUUCCAAGCAUAGAUCAGUUGAUAUUCUGCUUGUAUUGAACAUAUUUGCAAAAUUUCAGUUCCAUAGAUGUCAGAACUAGAUACUGCAGUAGCCAGGACUUUCCAGAUUAUGUAGUAUUGAAAUUAAUAGGGUUUGGAUUUGUCAUCUGUGCUUUGUGCUGUUCAUAUGUUUCAAAAAUUGGUAGACCAACAGGAAAAAAUGGAACAUAAUUUUAAUACAGAAGAUGAAAAUAUUUUUUGGUGUUUGAGUCCAUCUGUCACAUUUGUUAUUGCUAGAGUUAAAAUUAGUUAUUUUAAAUUGAAAAAAAAUUUAAGUAAUUGUCAGAGCUGUGAGGUUUUCACAGUGGUGAAAAAGCCGUCCGUAUUGGUUUUCUGGGUUGUGACACCAUGAGGUCUUGUAAGCAUUAUUACUACAACUCAGAAGAUCGCAGUUGACGGUAUAAGAAAGUGGUCAAUUAUAAUCAUGUCCUGGGCCAGAAAGUUUAUGUUCAGAUUGGUCUAGAACCAUAUAUGGGUUUUAUGGACCUGGUGUGAGUAGAACUCAGACAAAAGAAAGUGAAUCAUUACAUUUUUACACCCAGUAGUAAAUAAAUGGGUUUGAGGUAAAGUAAGAGGUGUUGUAAGCAAAAUGCAAGCAGUGCAUAAUUACAAAGGAAGCCGCUCUCUCAGUUCACUUUAGAGUAGAAAUCUCACUUAUUUAUAAGUUUGUUGAACUCUGCACUGAUUUUGAGAGUGGGAACGGAAGAUGUAAUGUAAGUCGUCCUUCUCCCAGUGCCAUGAAUACUGGAUGUCAAGUAAAAAUUUUGAUUAUGUGGUGGCUUAAAAAUAACUCCCUCAAUUGAUGCUUACUGAUCCUAAGUGAGUUUUGAUUGAUUUAAUUUUUCAUACUCACUGGUAUUUGGAUUUGAGGUAAAAAAAAGUUUAAAACUGAAAUUAUUUUUAUACAAAACACAUAAACAUGGUGAGUUAUUUUUGGGUACACCUUUUGUAACAUUUCCUCAAGUUUUGUCAAUCACUUUCUAGUUUAUAAGGCAACAUACAAUUUGACUUGUGCGCUUGCCAAGUAUCAGUUUGCCAGACUUUGUGCGACAGGAUCCCGGAGUGUGUUCACAGGUUCUUGAGGGCUCCUGAAGCCAAAGGUCAAUUUCACUGAAGUCUGUGGUGAGGUGGUUAGGAUCCUUUUGUCCUCAGGGUUCAGUUGUAAAUGUGGAGGUUGGCUGUCAUUCUUUUGCCUCUCCAACAAUAUGUUGGACUUGUGGUUUGACUAGUCACAAUUUUUAACAGUUUGUUACACUUGUAAAUGAAAAUUCUGGAAAUUUUCUUUAAAUACUUGAACCCUGAAGGAGGAGGCAGAAAGGUCUUGUAAAAUGUAUGUUUACCAUUUUGUUGUUGCAUUAAAUUGGGACUUCCAACUGAAUACCCUGAAACCUCGUUUAGUUUGGAGAAAAUGAAGUGUAGAAUUAUUCGUAGCAUUCCAUCUUUACUGCAGUGAAAUUUGAACAUUGUAGUAGCAUGAUAGAAAUUAGACUAUGAACGGCCGAGAUGAAAUUUUUUAUGAUGAAUGUGGAAGUAAUAGAUUUAAGUCUGUGAAACAAAUCUUGAAACGUCAUCCAACAGGAAGAGAAUAGCUUAAUCACCUGAUGAGUAGUAUUUUUAUUUUCUGUGUAAUACAUAAAUGACUUGAUACAUGUAGCUUUUGUCCUCAGGGCUCAAUAUUUUCAGAUUAGAAGGGUUCUGCAGCACACAAUUUGGGAACCACUGCUGUUAAUAAUAAUCUCAUGGAUGUUCACUCACUUCUGGCAAUAAAUGCAAGUGUUGCACAUUUUAUUGUCCGUUUCAUCUGCGUUUGAAGCUUUUGGUUACGAAUAGCGGCCUGCACCAGUUAACACUUUCUAUAGUAGCGUCUGAUGGCAGUUCUACUUUUUCCCGUAAGAUGGCAGGUGGCUUGUAACGAUGAAUUUACACAGUGGAGUUAAUCUGUGAUACUUUUAUCAUUUGGUGCCUCAGUGACUGACAACUUUUUUGUUCUUGUUGUGCCUUAAAAUAGUCCAUGACCAUAUUCUUCUUCCUGAUGAUGAUUUGCAGUUGUCCUAUUUUACACUUCUGUGGCCUGUCUAGUUGAAUAAACAUGAAAUAACCCAA